rnacentral:lncRNA from 1 species
CAGCCCUCGCUUUGUCUUUGAAUUUCCUUUCUUUUUUGGUUUUCCUUGCUUUGAAUGUAAUCCCCACACCAAAGAAUCCAACUUCUAAUGUAAGGUAGACUGGGGUCCAGCAUAGAUUAUCCUAAAACCAAACCAUGUUUUUCUCAUGCGUCCUAAAAUGAUUUUUCAAAUGGCAGUUUUUCAACGUCACUAGGUCUGGGGUUUGAAGCGCCUUUAAACCCUUUUGAAGGCCUCAAUCAUUGCAUUUGCUGCUGGCGCGGCGCCGUAUAUGUUCAUGGAGCG